GACGUAGGGCGCGAGCGUUGUCCGGAUUUAUUGGGCGUAAAGAGCUCGUAGGCGGCUUGUUGCGUCGACUGUGAAAACCCGCGGCUUAACCGCGGGCCUGCAGUUGGUACGGGCAGGCUAGAGUUCGGUAGGGGAGACUGGGAUUCCUGGUGUAGCGGUGAAAUGCGCAGAUAUCAGGAGGAACACCGGUGGCGAAGGCGGGUCUCUGGGCCGAUACUGACGCUGAGGAGCGAAAGCGUGGGGAGCGAACAGG
rnacentral:rRNA from 1 species